UGGGGAAUAUUGCACAAUGGGCGCAAGCCUGAUGCAGCCAUGCCGCGUGUGUGAAGAAGGCCUUCGGGUUGUAAAGCACUUUCAGCGGGGAGGAAGGCGGUGAGGUUAAUAACCUCAUCGAUUGACGUUACCCGCAGAAGAAGCACCGGCUAACUCCGUGCCAGCAGCCGCGGUAAUACGGAGGGUGCAAGCGUUAAUCGGAAUUACUGGGCGUAAAGCGCACGCAGGCGGUGUGUCAAGUCGGAUGUGAAAUCCCCGGGCUCAACCAGGGAACUGCGGUCGAAACUGGCAGGCUAGAGUCUUGUAGAGGGGGGUAGAAUUCCAGGUGUAGCGGUGAAAUGCGUAGAGAUCUGGAGGAAUACCGGUGGCGAAGGCGGCCCCCUGGACGAAGACUGACGCUCAGGUGCGAAAGCGUGGGGAGCAAACAGG
rnacentral:rRNA from 1 species